UCGAGCGAGCUUGCCUAGAUGAAUUUGGUGCUUGCACCAGAUGAAACUAGAUACAAGCGAGCGGCGGACGGGUGAGUAACACGUGGGUAACCUGCCCAAGAGACUGGGAUAACACCUGGAAACAGAUGCUAAUACCGGAUAACAACACUAGACGCAUGUCUAGAGUUUAAAAGAUGGUUCUGCUAUCACUCUUGGAUGGACCUGCGGUGCAUUAGCUAGCUGGUAAGGUAACGGCUUACCAAGGCAAUGAUGCAUAGCCGAGUUGAGAGACUGAUCGGCCACAUUGGGACUGAGACACGGCCCAAACUCCUACGGGAGGCAGCAGUAGGGAAUCUUCCACAAUGGACGCAAGUCUGAUGGAGCAACGCCGCGUGAGUGAAGAAGGGUUUCGGCUCGUAAAGCUCUGUUGGUAGUGAAGAAAGAUAGAGGUAGUAACUGGCCUUUAUUUGACGGUAAUUACUUAGAAAGUCACGGCUAACUACGUGCCAGCAGCCGCGGUAAUACGUAGGUGGCAAGCGUUGUCCGGAUUUAUUGGGCGUAAAGCGAGUGCAGGCGGUUCAAUAAGUCUGAUGUGAAAGCCUUCGGCUCAACCGGAGAAUUGCGUCAGAAACUGUUGAACUUGAGUGCAGAAGAGGAGAGUGGAACUCCAUGUGUAGCGGUGGAAUGCGUAGAUAUAUGGAAGAACACCAGUGGCGAAGGCGGCUCUCUGGUCUGCAACUGACGCUGAGGCUCGAAAGCAUGGGUAGCGAACAGG
rnacentral:rRNA from 1 species